rnacentral:lncRNA from 1 species
GUUAGGGUUAGGGUUAGGGUUGGAACUAGGGUUAAAGUUAGGGUUAGGGUUGGAGCUAGGGUAAGGGUUAGGGUUAGGGUUGGAGCUAGGGUUGGGGAUAGGGUUGGAGCUAGGGUUAGGGUUAGGGUUGGAGCUAGGGUUAGGGUUAGGGUUAGGGUUGGAGCUAGGGUUAGGGUUAGGGUUAGGGUUGGAGCUAGAGUUAGGGUUGCAGCUAGGGUUAGAGUUAGGGUUAGGGUUGGAGCUAGGGUUAGGGUUAGGGUUAGGGUUGGAGCUAGGGUUGGAGCUAGGGUUAGGGUUAGGGUUAGGGUUGGAGCUAGGGUUAGGGUUAGGGUUAGGGUUGGAGCUAGGGUUGGGGUUAGGGUUAGGGUUGGAGCUAGGGUUAGGGUUAGGGUUAGGGUUGGAGCUAGGGUUAGAGUUAGGGUUAGGGUUGGAGCUAGGGUUAGGGUUAGGGUUAGGGUUGGAGCUAGGGUUAGGGUUAGGGUUAGGGUUGGAGCUAGGGUUAGGGUUAGGGUUGGAGCUAGGGUUAGGGUUAGGGUUAGGGUUGGAGCUAGGGUUAGGGUUAGGGUUAGGGUUGGAGCUAGGGUUAGGGUUAGGGUUGGAGCUAGGGUUAGGGUUAGGGUUGGAGCUAGGGUUAGGGUUAGGGUUAGGGUUGGAGCUAGAGUUAGGGUUGCAGCUAGGGUUAGGGUUAGGGUUAGGGUUGGAGCUAGGGUUAGGGUUAGGGUUAGGGUUGGAGCUAGGGUUAGGGUUAGGGUUAGGGUUGGAGCUAGGGUUACGGUUAGGGUUAGAGUUAGGGUUGGAGCUAGGGUUAGGGUUGGAGCUAGGGUUAGGGUUAGGGUUAGGGUUGGAGCUAGGGUCAGGGUUAGGGAUGGAGCUAGGGUUAGGGUUAGGGUUAGGGUUGGAGCUAGGGUUAGGGUUAGGGUUAGGGUUGGAGCUAGGGUUAGGGUUAGGGUUGGAGCUAGGGAUAGUGCUAGGGUUAGGGUUAGGGUUGGAGCUAGGGUUAGGGUUAGGGUUAGGGUUGGAGCUAGGGUUAGGGUUGGAGCUAGGGUUAGGGUUAGGUUGGAGCUAGGGUUAGGGUUAGGGUUGGAGCUAGGGUUAGGGUUAGGGUUAGGGUUGGAACUAGGGUUAAAGUUAGGGUUAGGGUUGGAGCUAGGGUAAGGUUUAGGGUUAGGGUUGGAGCUAGGGUUGGGGAUAGGGUUGGAGCUAGGGUUAGGGUUAGGGUUGGAGCUAGGGUUAGGGUUAGGGUUAGGGUUGGAGCUAGGGUUAGGGUUAGGGUUAGGGUUGGAGCUAGGGUUAGGGUUAGGGUUAGGGUUGGAGCUAGGGUUAGAGUUAGGGUUAGGGUUGGAGCUAGGGUUAGGGUUAGGGUUAGGGUUGGAGCUAGGGUUAGGGUUAGGGUUAGGGUUGGAGCUAGGGUUAGGGUUAGGGUUAGGGUUGGAGCUAGGGUUAGGGUUAGGGUUAGGGUUGGAGCUAGGGUUAGGGUUAGGGUUGGAGCUAGGGUUAGGGUUAGGGUUGGAGCUAGGGUUAGGGUUAGGGUUAGGGUUGGAGCUAGAGUUAGGGUUGCAGCUAGGGUCAGCGUUAGGGUUAGGGUUGGAGAUAGGGUUAGGGUUAGGGUUAGGGUUGGAGCUAGGGUUAGGGUUAGGGUUGGAGCUAGGGUUACGGUUAGGGUUAGAGUUAGGGUUGGAGCUAGGGUUAGGGUUGGAGCUAGGGUUAGAGUUAGGGUUGGAGCUAGGGUUAGGGUUAGGGUUAGGGUUGGAGCAAGGGUCAGGGUUAGGGAUGGAGCUAGGGUUAGGGUUAGGGUUAGGGUUGGAGCUACGGUUAGGGUUAGGGUUAGGGUUGGAGCUAGGGUUAGAGCUAGGGUUAGGGUUAGGGUUGGAGCUAGGGUUAGGGUAAGGGUUAGGGUUGGAGCUAGGGUUAGGGUUAGGGUUAGGGUUGGAGCUAGGGUUAGGGUUAGGUUGGAGCUAGGGUUAGGGUUAGGGUUGGAGCUAGGGUUAGGGUUAGGGUUAGGGUUGGAACUAGGGUUAAAGUUAGGGUUAGGGUUGGAGCUAGGGUAAGGGUUAGGGUUAGGGUUGGAGCUAGGGUUGGGGAUAGGGUUGGAGAUAGGGUUAGGGUUAGGGUUGGAGCUAGGGUUAGGGUUAGGGUUAGGGUUGGAGCUAGGGUUAGGGUUAGGGUUAGGGUUGGAGCUAGGGUUAGGGUUAGGGUUAGGGUUGGAGCUAGGGUUAGGGUUAGGUUGGAGCCAGGGUUAGGGUUAGGGUUGGAGCUAGGGUUAGGGUUAGGGUUAGGGUUGGAACUAGGGUUAAAGUUAGGGUUAGGGUUGGAGCUAGGGUAAGGUUUAGGGUUAGGGUUGGAGCUAGGGUUGGGGAUAGGGUUGGAGCUAGGGUUAGGGUUAGGGUUGGAGCUAGGGUUAGGGUUAGGGUUAGGGUUGGAGCUAGGGUUAGGGUUAGGGUUAGGGUUGGAGCUAGGGUUAGGGUUAGGGUUAGGGUUGGAGCUAGGGUUAGAGUUAGGGUUAGGGUUGGAGCUAGGGUUAGGGUUAGGGUUAGGGUUGGAGCUAGGGUUAGGGUUAGGGUUAGGGUUGGAGCUAGGGUUAGGGUUAGGGUUAGGGUUGGAGCUAGGGUUAGGGUUAGGGUUAGGGUUGGAGCUAGGGUUAGGGUUAGGGUUGGAGCUAGGGUUAGGGUUAGGGUUGGAGCUAGGGUUAGGGUUAGGGUUAGGGUUGGAGCUAGAGUUAGGGUUGCAGCUAGGGUCAGGGUUAGGGUUAGGGUUGGAGAUAGGGUUAGGGUUAGGGUUAGGGUUGGAGCUAGGGUUAGGGUUAGGGUUGGAGCUAGGGUUACGGUUAGGGUUAGAGUUAGGGUUGGAGCUAGGGUUAGGGUUGGAGCUAGGGUUAGAGUUAGGGUUGGAGCUAGGGUUAGGGUUAGGGUUAGGGUUAGGGUUGGAGCAGGGUCAGGGUUAGGGAUGGAGCUAGGGUUAGGGUUAGGGUUAGGGUUGGAGCUACGGUUAGGGUUAGGGUUAGGGUUGGAGCUAGGGUUAGAGCUAGGGUUAGGGUUAGGGUUGGAGCUAGGGUUAGGGUAAGGGUUAGGGUUGGAGCUAGGGUUAGGGUUAGGGUUAGGGUUGGAGCUAGGGUUAGGGUUAGGUUGGAGCUAGGGUUAGGGUUAGGGUUGGAGCUAGGGUUAGGGUUAGGGUUAGGGUUGGAACUAGGGUUAAAGUUAGGGUUAGGGUUGGAGCUAGGGUAAGGGUUAGGGUUAGGGUUGGAGCUAGGGUUGGGGAUAGGGUUGGAGCUAGGGUUAGGGUUAGGGUUGGAGCUAGGGUUAGGGUUAGGGUUAGGGUUGGAGCUAGGGUUAGGGUUAGGGUUAGGGUUGGAGCUAGGGUUAGGGUUAGGGUUAGGGUUGGAGCUAGGGUUAGGGUUGCAGCUAGGGUUAGAGUUAGGGUUAGGGUUGGAGCUAGGGUUAGGGUUAGGGUUAGGGUUGGAGCUAGGGUUAGGGUUAGGGUUAGGGUUGGAGCUAGGGUUAGGGUUAGGGUUAGGGUUCGAGCUAGGGUUAGGGUUAGGGUUAGGGUUGGAGCUAGGGUUAGGGUUGGAGCUAGGGUUAGGGUUAGGGUUAGGGUUGGAGCUAGAGUUAGGGUUGCAGCUAAGGUUAGGGUUAGGGUUAGGGUUGGAGCUAGGGUUAGGGUUAGGGUUGGAGCUAGGGUUAGGGUUAGAGUUGGAGCUAGGGUUAGGGUUAGGGUUGGAGCUAGGGUUAGGGUUAGGGUUAGGGUUGGAGCUAGAGUUAGGGUUGCAGCUAGGGUUAGGGUUAGGGUUAGGGUUGGAGCUAGGGUUAGGGUUAGGGUUGGAGCUAGGGUUAGGGUUAGGGUUAGGGUUGGAGCUAGGGUUACGGUUAGGGUUAGGGUUGGAGCUAGGGUUGGAGCUAGGGUUAGGGUUAGGGUUAGGGUUGGAGCUAGGGUUAGGGAUAGGGUUGGAGCUAGGGUUAGGGUUAGGGUUGGAGCUAGGGUCAGGAUUAGGGUUAGGGUUGGAGCUAGGGUUAGGGUUGGAGCUAGGGUUAGGGUUAGGGUUAGGGUUGGAGCUAGGGUUAGGGUUAGGGUUGGAGCUAGGGUUAGGUUAGGGUUAGGGUUGGAGCCAGGGUUAGGGUUAGGGUUAGGGUUGGAGCUAGGGUUAGGGUUAGGGUUAGGGUUGGAGCUAGGGUUAGGGUUAGGGUUGGAGCUAGGGUUAGAGUUAGGGUUAGGGUUGGAGCUAGGGUUAGGGUUAGGGUUGGAGCUAGGGUUAGGGUUAGGGUUAGGGUUGGAGCUAGGGUUAGGGUUAGGGUUGGAGCUAGGGUUAGGGUUAGGGUUAGGGUUGGAGCUAGAGUUAGGGUUGCAGCUAGGGUUAGGGUUAGGGUUAGGGUUGGAGCUAGGGUUAGGGUUAGGGUUAGGGUUGGAGCUAGGGUUAGGGUUAGGGUUAGGGUUGGAGCUAGGGUUACGGUUAGGGUUAGAGUUAGGGUUGGAGCUAGGGUUAGGGUUGGAGCUAGGGUUAGGGUUAGGGUUGGAGCUAGGGUUAGGGUUAGGGUUAGGGUUGGAGCUAGGGUCAGGGUUAGGGAUGGAGCUAGGGUUAGGGUUAGGGUUAGGGUUGGAGCUAGGGUUAGGGUUAGGGUUAGGGUUGGAGCUAGGGUUAGGGUUAGGGUUGGAGCUAGGGUUAGAGCUAGGGUUAGGGUUAGGGUUGGAGCUAGGGUUAGGGUAAGGGUUAGGGUUGGAGCUAGGGUUAGGGUUAGGGUUGGAGCUAGGGUUAGGGUUAGGUUGGAGCUAGGGUUAGGGUUAGGGUUGGAGCUAGGGUUAGGGUUAGGGUUAGGGUUGGAACUAGGGUUAAAGUUAGGGUUAGGGUUGGAGCUAGGGUAAGGUUUAGGGUUAGGGUUGGAGCUAGGGUUAGGGUUAGGGUUAGGGUUGGAGCUAGGGUUAGGGUUAGGGUUGGAGCUAGGGUUAGAGCUAGGGUUAGGGUUAGGGUUGGAGCUAGGGUUAGGGUAAGGGUUAGGGUUGGAGCUAGGGUUAGGGUUAGGGUUAGGGUUGGAGCUAGGGUUAGAGUUAGGGUUAGGGUUGGAGCUAGGGUUAGGGUUAGGGUUAGGGUUGGAGCUAGGGUUAGGGUUAGGGUUAGGGUUGGAGCUAGGGUUAGGGUUAGGGUUAGGGUUGGAGCUAGGGUUAGGGUUAGGGUUAGGGUUGGAGCUAGGGUUAGGGUUAGGGUUGGAGCUAGGGUUAGGGUUAGGGUUAGGGUUGGAGCUAGAGUUAGGGUUGCAGCUAGGGUCAGGGUUAGGGUUAGGGUUGGAGAUAGGGUUAGGGUUAGGGUUAGGGUUGGAGCUAGGGUUAGGGUUAGAGUUAGGGUUGGAGCUAGGGUUAGGGUUGGAGCUAGGGUUAGAGUUAGGGUUGGAGCUAGGGUUAGGGUUAGGGUUAGGGUUGGAGCAAGGGUCAGGGUUAGGGAUGGAGCUAGGGUUAGGGUUAGGGUUAGGGUUGGAGCUACGGUUAGGGUUAGGGUUAGGGUUGGAGCUAGGUUUAGGGUUAGGGUUGGAGCUAGGGUUAGAGCUAGGGUUAGGGUUAGGGUUGGAGCUAGGGUUAGGGUAAGGGUUAGGGUUGGAGCUAGGGUUAGGGUUAGGGUUAGGGUUGGAGCAAGGGUUAGGGUUAGGUUGGAGCUAGGGUUAGGGUUAGGGUUGGAGCUAGGGUUAGGGUUAGGGUUAGGGUUGGAGCUAGGGUUAGGGUUAGGGUUAGGGUUGGAGCUAGGGUUAGGGCUAGGGUUAGGGUUGGAGCUAGGGUUAGGGUUAGGGUUAGGGUUAGGGUUGGAGCUAGGGUUAGGGUUAGGGUUAGGGUUGGAGCAAGGGUUAGGGUUAGGGUUGGAGCUAGGGUUAGGGUUAGGGUUGCAGCUAGGGUCAGGGUUAGGGUUAGGGUUGGAGCUAGGGUUAGGGUUAGGGUUAGGGUUGGAGCUAGGGUUAGGGUUAGGGUUAGGGUUAGGGUUGGAGCUAGGGUUAGGGUUACGGUUGGAGCUAGGGUUAGGGUUGCAGCUAGGGUUAGGGUUAGGGUUAGGGUUGGAGCUAGGGUUAGG